GAUGAACGCUGGCGGCGUGCCUAAUACAUGCAAGUCGAGCGAACAGACGAGGAGCUUGCUCCUUUGACGUUAGCGGCGGACGGGUGAGUAACACGUAGGUAGCCUACCUAUAUGACUGGGAUAAUUUCGGGAAACAGGAGCUAAUACCGGAUAAUAUUUCGAACCGCAUGGUUCGAUAGUGAAAGAUGGCUUUGCUAUCACUUAUAGAUGGACUUGCGCCGUAUUAGCUAGUUGGUAAGGUAACGGCUUACCAAGGCAACGAUACGUAGCCGACCUGAGAGGGUGAUCGGCCACACUGGAACUGAGACACGGUCCAGACUCCUACGGGAGGCAGCAGUAGGGAAUCUUCCGCAAUGGGCGAAAGCCUGACGGAGCAACGCCGCGUGAGUGAUGAAGGUCUUCGGAUCGUAAAGCUCUGUUAUUAGGGAAGAACAAACGUGUAAGUAACUGUGCACGUCUUGACGGUACCUAAUCAGAAAGCCACGGCUAACUACGUG
rnacentral:rRNA from 1 species